rnacentral:rRNA from 1 species
AGCAGCCGCGGUAAUUCCAGCUCCAAUAGCGUAUAUUAAAGUUGUUGCAGUUAAAAAGCUCGUAGUUGAAUUUCGGGAUCAGUGGGUCGGUCGUGCCACUGGUAUGCACUGGCCCUACUGGUUCCUCCUUCUUGAAGAACUGUAAUGCCAUUAAUUUGGUGUUGCAGGGAAACAGGACUGUUACUUUGAAAAAAUUAGAGUGUUUAAAGCAGGCAAUCGCUUGAAUACAUUAGCAUGGAAUAAUGAAAUAGGACGAUCGAUCCUAUUUUGUUGGUUUCUAGGAUUGACGUAAUGAUUAAUAGGGAUAGUUGGGGGCAUUAGUAUUCAAUUGUCAGAGGUGAAAUUCUUGGAUUUAUUGAAGACUGACUACUGCGAAAGCAUUUGCCAAGGAUGUUUUCAUUAAUCAAGAACGAAAGUUAGGGGAUCGAAGACGAUCAGAUACCGUCGUAGCCUUAACCAUAAACUAUGCCGACUAGGGAUCGGAUGAUAGUUAACUUUUAAUGACUCUACG